AUUGAACGCUGGCGGCAUGCUUUACACAUGCAAGUCGAGCGGUAACAGGCCUUCGGGUGCUGACGGGUGGCGAACGGGUGAGUAAUGCAUCGGAACGUACCCAGAGGUGGGGGAUAACGCAGCGAAAGCUGUGCUAAUACCGCAUGUGAUCUGAGGAUGAAAGCGGGGGACCGAGCAGCAAUGUUUGGCCUCGCGCCUUUGGAGCGGCCGAUGUCGGAUUAGCUAGUUGGUGGGGUAAAGGCCUACCAAGGCGACGAUCCGUAGCUGGUCUGAGAGGACGACCAGCCACACUGGGACUGAGACACGGCCCAGACUCCUACGGGAGGCAGCAGUGGGGAAUUUUGGACAAUGGGCGCAAGCCUGAUCCAGCAAUGCCGCGUGCGGGAAGAAGGCCUUCGGGUUGUAAACCGCUUUUGGCAGGAACGAAACGGUGUCCGCUAAUACCGGGCGCUAAUGACGGUACCUGCAGAAUAAGCACCGGCUAACUACGUG
rnacentral:rRNA from 1 species